rnacentral:piRNA from 2 species
UUGAAGUCACAGUUUGCAAUCUUGAUGUUC